rnacentral:rRNA from 1 species
UACAGAGGUCUCAAGCGUUGUUCGGAUUCAUUGGGCGUAAAGGGUGCGUAGGCGGCGCGGUAAGUCGGGUGUGAAAUCUCGGAGCUUAACUCCGAAACUGCAUUCGAUACUGCGGUGCUUGAGGACUGGAGAGGAGACUGGAAUUCAUGGUGUAGCAGUGAAAUGCGUAGAGAUCAUGAGGAAGACCAGUGGCGAAGGCGGGUCUCUGGACAGUUCCUGACACUGAGGCACGAAGGCCAGGGGAGCGAACGGG